ensembl:lncRNA
UGGUUAGAGUGUAGGGACGACAGGUAGCCUAGUGGUUAGAGUGUAGAGGUGGCAGGGUAGCCUAGUGGUUAGAGUGUAGAGGUGGCAGGGUAGCCUAGUGGUUAGAGUGUAGAGGUGGCAGGGUAGCCUAGUGGUUAGAGUGUAGAGAUGGUAGGGUAGGGUAGUGGUUAGAGUGUAGAGAUGGUAGGGUAGGGUAGUGGUUAGAGUGUAGGGACGGUAGGGUAGCCUAGUGGUUAGAGUGUAGGGACGGCAGGUAGCCUAGUGGUUAGAGUGUAGAGGUGGUAGGGUAGCCUAGUGGUUAGAGUGUAGAGGUGGCAGGGUAGCCUAGUGGUUAGAGUGUAGAGGUGGCAGGGUAGCCUAGUGGUUAGAGUGUAGAGGUGGCAGGGUAGCCUAGUGGUUAGAGUGUAGAGGUGGCAGGGUAGCCUAGUGGUUAGAGUGUAGGGGUGGCAGGUAGCCUAGUGGUUAGAGUGUAGGGGCGGCAGGUAGCCUAGUGGUUAGAGUGUAGAGGUGGCAGGGUAGCCUAGUGGUUAGAGUGAAGGGGCGGCAGGUAGCCUAGUGGUUAGAGUGUAGAGGCAGGUAGCCUAGUGGUUAGAGUGUAGAGGCAGGUAGCCUAGUGGUUAGAGUGUAGAGGCGGCAGGGUAGCCUAGUGGUUAGAGUGUAGGGGCGGCAGGUAGCCUAGUGGUUAGAGUGUAGAGGUGGCAGGGUAGCCUAGUGGUUAGAGUGAAGGGGCGGCAGGUAGCCUAGGGGUUAGAGUGUAGGGGUGGCAGGGUAGCCUAGUGGUUAGAGUGUAGGGGGG